rnacentral:rRNA from 1 species
UACGGGGGGAGCAAGCGUUGUUCGGAUUUACUGGGCGUAAAGGGCGCGUAGGCGGCCACCGCAAGUCGACUGUGAAAUCUCCGGGCUUAACCCGGAAAGGUCAGCCGAUACUGCGGGGCUAGAGUGCAGAAGGGGCAACUGGAAUUCUCGGUGUAGCGGUGAAAUGCGUAGAUAUCGAGAGGAACACCUGCGGCGAAGGCGGGUUGCUGGGCUGACACUGACGCUGAGGAGUGAAAGCCAGGGGAGCAAACGGG